rnacentral:rRNA from 1 species
UACGAAGGGGGCUAGCGUUGCUCGGAAUUACUGGGCGUAAAGGGCGCGUAGGCGGACAGUUUAGUCAGAGGUGAAAGCCCAGGGCUCAACCUUGGAAUUGCCUUUGAUACUGGCUGUCUUGAGUUCGGGAGAGGUGAGUGGAAUGCCGAGUGUAGAGGUGAAAUUCGUAGAUAUUCGGCGGAACACCAGUGGCGAAGGCGACUCACUGGCCCGAUACUGACGCUGAGGCGCGAAAGCUAGGUAGCGGAACGGG